rnacentral:rRNA from 1 species
UACGAAGGGGGCUAGCGUUGCUCGGAAUCACUGGGCGUAAAGGGCGCGUAGGCGGCCAUUCAAGUCGGAGGUGAAAGCCCAGGGCUCAACCCUGGAAUUGCCUUCGAUACUGUUUGGCUAGAGACCGGAAGAGGUAAGUGGAACUGCGAGUGUAGAGGUGAAAUUCGUAGAUAUUCGCAAGAACACCAGUGGCGAAGGCGGCUUACUGGUCCGGUUCUGACGCUGAGGCGCGAAAACGUGGGGAGCAAACAGG